AAUAGUAUAUUUCGUAUAUUUUGUAGCUAUUAAUAAAAGUCUUUUUUAGCGUGUAAUAAGUUUCCAGAACGAGACGAAGGCGAGUUCUGGAAUUGAAUACGCUAAAAAAGACUUUUAGUCCGUGGUACAAAUAAUAGUUUUCAUAUCCGACGGA